ACAGUCGGUGUUGGGAUUCUCCCUUCACAGGCAGGAAAAAUGAUGCAGAGACAAUGAGAGACUGUCUAAAGUCAUGUUGGUGGGCAGAGUCAGUUCCAAGCUUUGGAUUCCGUUCUUCUGCCUCCAAUCCACUGCUCUAUUUAAAUAACUACUACAUAUUAUGGGGAGAAAAAGACAGGUAAGCUUUUCUUGAUGGAUAAGAAAUCAAAUAAGGGGAAAGAAGAGACAUUACGCAGAAUGUCGGGCAGUGCCAUUUGUAAGGCCACCUUAGGGGCUGGGGACACAGGAGACAGGGCUGUCGUAGGGUCAAUACAAAGGCCAGGCAGGCCGAGGGAGAACAGUCACAGAGGAGCGGGCGGUGACCCCCAAACAAACAACCAGGACCUACUACCACGUAAUUUCCUUUUACGAUGACCCCGUGGCCCCCUUCCCUGUGCCCCCAACUCACACGCACAGCCGGCCCUCCAGGCACCCAUGCUCCCAACCCCCUCUCCCUUCCAGACGACCUGAGCAAGGUGACCCCACCCAAGGUGGCUGUGUUCGAGCCGUCAGCAGCAGAGAUCUCCCGGACCCAGAAGGCCACGCUCGUGUGCCUGGCCACGGGCUUCUACCCCGACCACGUGGAGCUGAGCUGGUGGGUGAACGGGAAGCAGGUCGAGACGGGGGUCAGCACGGACCCUCAGCCCCACAAGGAGGACCCCAGCCGCAAUGACUCCAGCUACUGUCUGAGCAGCCGGCUGAGGGUCUCCGCCAGCUUCUGGUACAACCCUCGCAACCUCUUCCGCUGCCAAGCCUGGUUCCACGGGGUCUCGGACGAGGACGAGUGGAAGCAGGACAGGCCCAAACCCGUCACCCAGAACAUCAGUGCCGAGGUCCGGGGCCGAGCAGUGCUGCCAUGUUCCAUGACCUUCGAGGAUGCUGUGGCCACAUCGCCAAAACAGAAGGAAGGCGCUGCUGGGACUCUGACCAGAGGCUGCCCUGAGCCUGGGAGUCUGUGCUGACUACAAGUCUGGCUUAGUUUU